CCUACGGGAGGCAGCAGUGGGGAAUAUUGGACAAUGGGGGCAACCCUGAUCCAGCCAUGCCGCGUGUGUGAAGAAGGCUUUCGGGUUGUAAAGCACUUUCAGUGGGGAAGAAGGCCUUGAGGUUAAUAACCGCGAGGAAGGACAUCACCCACAGAAGAAGCACCGGCUAACUCCGUGCCAGCAGCCGCGGUAAUACGGAGGGUGCGAGCGUUAAUCGGAAUUACUGGGCGUAAAGCGCGCGUAGGUGGCUUGAUAAGCCGGUUGUGAAAGCCCCGGGCUCAACCUGGGAAUGGCAUCCGGAACUGUCAGGCUAGAGUGCAGGAGAGGAAGGUAGAAUUCCCGGUGUAGCGGUGAAAUGCGUAGAGAUCGGGGGGAAUACCAGUGGCGAAGGCGGCCUUCUGGACUGACACUGACACUGAGGUGCGAAAGCGUGGGUAGCAAACAGGAUUAGAUACCCUGGUAGUCCACGCCGUAAACGAUGUCGACUAGCCGUUGGGUUCCUUGAGAACUUAGUGGCGCAGUUAACGCGAUAAGUCGACCGCCUGGGGAGUACGGCCGCAAGGUUAAAACUCAAAUGAAUUGACGGGGGCCCGCACAAGCGGUGGAGCAUGUGGUUUAAUUCGAUGCAACGCGAAGAACCUUAC
rnacentral:rRNA from 1 species